GAGCGUAUGGAAGCAGUGAUGAAGUGGGGCCUCAGUCCUGUGGUAAGACCAGCUUGGUCCAGCUACUGUCCAGUUUGACCGGCCAUCACCUACAUGUUCUAGCAAUGAACUGUUCCAUGGACACCACAGAACUACUGGGCAGAUUUGAAGAGGCAGAUAUCCAGAACCACGUAGAGAAAUUCGUCUACACAACCGAAUCUGUUGUCUUGGAUACCACCAUCCUGCUUCUCCAAGGUCAACAUGUCAGUAUGGCAGGGAGGCUGCAACAAUCCU